rnacentral:rRNA from 1 species
AUACGGAGGGGGUUAGCGUUGUUCGGAAUUACUGGGCGUAAAACGCACGUAGGCGGACUGGAAAGUUGGGGGUGAAAUCCCGGGGCUCAACCCCGGAACUGCCUCCAAAACUUCCAAUCUAGAGAUCGAGAGAGGUGAGUGGAAUUCCAAGUGUAGUGGUGAAAUUCGUAGAUAUUUGGAGGAACACCAGUGGCGAAGGCGGCUCACUGGCUCGAUACUGACGCUGAGGUGCGAAAGCGUGGGGAGCAAACAGGAUUAGAAACCCCAGUAGUCC